rnacentral:misc_RNA from 1 species
GUUUACCACUUGUAAGAAACAUUACCAAAACUAUCUAAGCCUUCUACCACCUUAGUUGGUUUUUGCCUUUUGACUCUGUAUUCCCUUUCUUUCUGUUUAUUUUGCUUUCUUUUGUCUUGUUCUUUUUUGUUUCCCAUUAGUUUAAUGGCACAUUAAAACAAAUUAAUAUAUCUAGGAAUCUGUCAAUAUCUGGGGUUGUCAUCAAGUUCAAACCAGCUUGUGCUUUGCUAGAUUUCUGCUCUGUUCCUAUUGCUCUGCUGCUCUUUAUUUGAAUUUAAAACCCAUUUUAGCAUACCCUGAAAGCCUUCACCAGAUUUGCCUUCCUCUUUGGAAUUUCUCAUCUGGGUCUUUAUGCAUUGGAGCUAGCAUGAUCUUUCAAAGGUGCUAUCUUUUCCAUUCUUUGUUCUGUUGUCCUAGUGGGUUCCUUCUGUCAGUUUUGAUUUUCGGUUAAUAACUACUAGUUCAUUGUGUUGCUUUGGAAAAGUCUAGAUUUCUCUUCCUUGGUUUUAGAAUUUAUGUUAUACGUCAUAGUUGAUAAUUAGAGGUUCUUGAAUUGCUUUUGCUGGAUUAGAACAUAAGAUUUCAUUUCCUUCAUUUGGCUUUCUUCGUGGUUUUUGAUUCCUAUUGUGUUUGAUUAACAGUGGUUCCUUGACUGUUCUGCCUCUAUAAUAACCCUAAGGUCUGGUUAAGUUUAAACAGGAUCUACCUCUUUGUUCCUUAACAAAUUUCCCUGAUUUUGUAAUGAUGAGUGAUAGGGGAUUAAAAAUUUUUACUUGUGCUUUAUCAAUCUUGAGCUUGGCUAGUUUGUGUUGUGGAUUUAAUCCUGUAGACAAUUACCUUAUAGACUGUGGAUCAAGCAGCGAUACUACAGUGGGCGACCGUGUUUUCUUGGCUGAUAACUCUACCUCAAACUCCCUUUCAACCCCAAAAAACAUUUUUGCCAGAGCUUCAACAUCUGUCACGUCCUCCGAUUAUUCAUUGCUAUAUCAAACAGCAAGAAUCCUCGAUGGAACCUCAAAAUACACAUUUUCAAUUCAACAACCUGGUAGACAUUGGAUUCGCUUUUAUUUCUAUCCAUUUGUUUAUGAUAGUUACAAUAUGAACAGGGCAAUUUUUCAUGUUUCCACCCAAGACCAUGUCCUUCUGAGCAAUUUCAGUGUCAACUCUAAUGUUGUUAAAGAAUUUUCUGUUAAUGUAACCUCGACUAGCCUUGAAAUUAUUUUCACCCCAUCAAGCAAUUCGUUUGCAUUCUUGAAUGCCUUGGAAGUUGUUUCCAUCCCCGAUGCACUAAUUACAGAUGAUGCCAGCACUUUUGAUCCACUGGGGACAUUCCAAGGCUUGUUUUCACAGGCACUGGAGACUGUUUUUAGGGUGAACAUGGGUGGACCAACAAUUCUCCCUGAAAAUGAUACCCUUGGGCGAACUUGGGUUCCUGAUCAAGAUUUUCUCAUCAACGAGAAUUUUGCCACAAACAUAUCAAAAAUUAGUGCUGUCAAGUAUGUAGAAGGCGGAGCAACACCAGAUAUUGCUCCUAAUGCUGUUUAUGGUACUGCCACUGUGAUGAAAUCAGGAGAUGAUCCCAGAAGCAAUUUCAAUGUGACCUGGCAGUUCAAUGUUGAUCCUGGAUUUCAGUAUCUUGUUCGGUUUCACUUCUGUGAUAUACUAAGUAAAGCUCUUAACGAGCUCUACUUUGAAGUUUAUAUUGACUCUUCGAUUGUUGCUAAGGAUCUUGAUCCAAGUAUUCUAUUACAAAACAUUUUGGCAGGUGCACUUUAUAUGGAUUUUGUCACACCUUUAAAUGACAGCAAAAAUAAGCUUCGUGUGAGUAUUGGUCCAAGCUCUAUUCCUAAUGUUCUACCUAAUGCCAUUCUAAAUGGGCUAGAGAUAAUGAAAAUGAACAAUUCCCUUGGCAGCCUCAGUGGGUCAGCACCUUUGCUUUCUGAUUCAAGAUCUAAGAAGAAUGUUGGCAUGAUAGUGGGCUUGACCGCUGGGGCAGUUAUUGCGGUGGUGGUGGCUGCAAUAAUGUUUAUGUUUUGCAGAAAAAGGAAAAAGUUGGCACAUCAAGGCCAUUCGAAGACGUGGAUUCCCCUACCUGUUAGUGGGGGAAAUUCUCCCACUGUGGGUAGUAAGUAUUCUAAUGGAACAACUGUUAGUGUUAACUCUAAUCUAGGAUAUUGCAUUCCUUUUGUGGCAGUUCAAGAGGCCACAAACAACUUUGAUGAGGCCUGGGUUAUCGGUAUUGGUGGUUUUGGGAAGGUGUACAAAGGAGUUUUAAAUGACAGUACCAAAGUGGCUGUUAAAAGGGGAAAUCCACGCUCCCAACAGGGGCUUGCAGAGUUCCAAACUGAAAUUGAGAUGCUAUCCCAGUUCCGGCAUCGCCAUCUAGUUUCAUUAAUUGGGUACUGUGACGAAAAAAAUGAGAUGAUCUUAAUAUAUGAAUACAUGGAGAAUGGGACUCUUAAGGGUCAUCUCUAUGGCGCAGGUCGUCCAAGCUUGAGUUGGAAGGAAAGGCUUGAGAUAUGCAUUGGAGCAGCUAGAGGACUACAUUACCUUCACACUGGCUAUGCUAAAGCAGUCAUUCAUCGUGAUGUGAAGUCUGCAAAUAUCUUGCUUGAUGAGAAUCUCAUGGCCAAAGUUGCUGAUUUUGGGCUUUCAAAGACAGGACCUGAAAUAGACCAGACCCAUGUGAGUACAGCAGUGAAGGGGACUUUUGGGCACCUUGAUCCUGAAUAUUUCGAGAGGCGACAACUGACAGAGAAAUCGGAUGUGUAUUCAUUUGGGAUGGUUUUGUUUGAGGUUCUUUGUGCAAGACCUGUUAUAGAUCCAACCCUUCCAAGGGAAAUGGUGAACUUAGCAGAAUGGGCAAUGAAGUGGCAGAAAAAAGGGCAGUUGGAGCAAAUAAUAGAUCCUACACUUGGGGGAAAAAUAAGACCUGAUUCACUCAGGAAGUUCGGCGAAACUGCAGAGAAAUGCUUGGCCGACUUUGGCGUUGAAAGGCCUUCUAUGGGAGAUGUCUUAUGGAAUCUUGAGUAUGCUCUUCAACUUCAAGAGGUAGUUGUUCCUGGUGAUCCUGAAGAAAACAGCACUAACAUGAUUGGUGAGCUUUCUCCACAAAUCAACAAUUUCAGCAAUGUUGAUAUUAGCGUUUCUACUGCUCAAUUUGGAGCAUCAAGUGUGGAUGGUCUCUCUGGGGCUUCAAUGAGUAAAGUAUUCUCACAGCUAGUAAAGUCUGAGGGGAGAUAACUUGUUGGAGACGGUAUAUUUUGUGAGUUUGGCUCCUUCUUUGAUAUCAUUUCUUUGGUUUGUCUUCUCACCAAUCACUACUUUCUACACCAGAGUAGAUAGAGGAAUUUUUUUUAUUUGAUGUGGAGAAGGAAGAACAAUUUACUAAGGACAAUCCUUGUUCUGGUAAAAUCAAGAAAGCAUCUUCUCUGAUUACAGCAUGGCUUUUCUGCUUAGCUUUUGGGAAUACAGAGAGAAGGUGCUCCAUGUUCUAUGGCUAGUCAUCUUCUAGUAGGUGUCUAAGCCACACGAAAUUGUUUCUGGAGUUCUGCAUAUUGAGUUUUCUCUUUUGUACAGAAGGGAAGGUGCUUCAAGUGAGUUUUAGGGAAUUGAUAAGAAUGUUGCUUUUCUUAUGUAGCUUGUUUUGUGUCUAUUCAUAGUUAUAACUUGGUGUAACUGCAUUUAUUUCUAUGUUUGCUAGUGGUUGUCUGAUUUUAGUCUUCUUGUUCAUUUAACCAUCCUUGCUUAUCUAUCAAAUUCAUUUUGUAUAAUGGUAAUGAUUGCCUGAAUUUUGGAUUAAAAAUGAGACAAAAAUUUGGCCAAUGCUUAAAUGUUGUUUGUACUGUUUCAUCAACAAUUGUGUUACAUACCAGGUUGUCAAUGGUCCCAAAACACCCGAACUGGAGAGGAAGAAUGAAAGGAAGAGAAGCAUAGGGAAAAACAGAACAGAGUAGAAGGGGAUGGAGAAGAAAAGGAAA